GACGAACGCUGGCGGCGUGCCUAAUACAUGCAAGUUGAGCGCUGAAGGUUGGUACUUGUACCAACUGGAUGAGCAGCGAACGGGUGAGUAACGCGUGGGGAAUCUGCCUUUGAGCGGGGGACAACAUUUGGAAACGAAUGCUAAUACCGCAUAAAAACUUUAAACACAAGUUUUAAGUUUGAAAGAUGCAAUUGCAUCACUCAAAGAUGAUCCCGCGUUGUAUUAGCUAGUUGGUGAGGUAAAGGCUCACCAAGGCGAUGAUACAUAGCCGACCUGAGAGGGUGAGAGGACACACUGGGACUGAGACACGGACCAGACGACGACGGGAGGAAGCAGGAGGGAAUCUUAGGCAAGGGACGAAAGUAUGACAGAGCAACGCGGGGGGAGUGAAGAAGGUGUUGGGAUCGUAAAAAUCUGUUGUUAGUGAAGAACAAGGACGUUAGUAACUGAACGUCACCUGACGGUAGCUAACCAGAAAGCCACGGCUAACUACGUG
rnacentral:rRNA from 1 species